rnacentral:rRNA from 1 species
AACAGGAUUAGAUACCCUGGUAGUCCACGCCGUAAACGAUGAGUGCUAGGUGUUGGGGGGCUACGCCCCUCAGUGCCGAAGGUAACCCAUUAAGCACUCCGCCUGGGGAGUACGGCCGCAAGGCUGAAACUCAAAGGAAUUGACGGGGGCCCGCACAAGCGGUGGAGCAUGUGGUUUAAUUCGAAGCAACGCGAAGAACCUUACCAGGGCUUGACAUCCCGCUGACCCCUCCAGAGAUGGAGGUUUCCUUCGGGACAGCGGUGACAGGUGGUGCAUGGUUGUCGUCAGCUCGUGUCGUGAGAUGUUGGGUUCAGUCCCGCAACGAGCGCAACCCUUGUCGUUAGUUGCCAGCAUUUCGGAUGGGCACUCUAACGAGACAGCCGGUGAAAGCCGGAGGAAGGUGGGGAUGACGUCAAAUCAUCAUGCCCCUUAUGUCCUGGGCUACACACGUGCUACAAUGGCUGGUACAAAGGGCAGCGAACCCGCGAGGGGGAGCCAAUCCCAAAAAGCCAGUCUCAGUUCGGAUCGCAGGCUGCAACUCGCCUGCGUGAAGCCGGAAUCGCUAGUAAUCGCGGAUCAGCAUGCCGCGGUGAAUAUGUUCCCGGGCCUUGUACACACCGCCCGUCACACCACGAGAGUUUGCAACACCCGAAGUCGGUGAGGCAACCUUUUAGGAGCCAGCCGCCGAAGGUGGGGCAGAUGAUUGGGGUGAAGUCGUAACAAGGUAACC